UACGUAGGCAGCAAGCGUUGUUCGGAGUUACUGGGCGUAAAGGGUGCGUAGGCGGUUGUUUAAGUUUGGUGUGAAAUCUCCCGGCUCAACUGGGAGGGUGCGCCGAAUACUGAAUGACUAGAGUGCGGAGAGGAGAGUGGAAUCCUGGUGUAGCGGUGAAAUGCGUAGAUAUCAGGAGGAACACCGGUGGUGUAGACGGCUCGUCUGGACCGUAACUGACGCUGAGGCACGAAAGCGUGGGUAGCAAACAGG
rnacentral:rRNA from 1 species